rnacentral:rRNA from 1 species
GACAGAGGGUGCAAACGUUGCUCGGAAUCACUGGGCGUAAAGGGCGCGUAGGCGGAUGUUUAAGUCAGAGGUGAAAGCCCAGGGCUCAACCUUGGAACUGCCUUUGAUACUGGGCAUCUUGAGUAUGGGAGAGGUGAGUGGAACUCCGAGUGUAGAGGUGAAAUUCGUAGAUAUUCGGAAGAACACCAGUGGCGAAGGCGACUCACUGGCCCAUUACUGACGCUGAGGCGCGAAAGCGUGGGGAGCAAACAGG